CCUCCCCAUCUGCCGCCCCGCCCGACCCGCUCACCCCGCCGCUCCGCCCGUCCCGCUCGCCCCCUUCCCAGCCGCUCACCCCGCCCGUCCAGCUCGCCGUGGCCGAUGACCACGCCACCAGAGACCGCGGACCUUGGCGCAGGCCUGUGCUCCCGAGCGGUGGUCCCUCCUUGUUGCCACCCCUCUCCUCUGCCAUGUGUCGGAUCCGAGGCGUGCGGGCGCGGAGGCAAGCUUCUCCAGCGGUGGCCGCCACCCUCUCGUCUCCUCAAUCCUCUUCAUAUCAUCCCGCGUUCUCGAUCUAUGCCGCCACGUGCUGUGGUUCUGGAUUGGGCGCAGGCUGCCGCCAUUGGAGAGUAGCGGCGGUGAGGUCUUCAGCUCGGGUGCGAGGAGCAGGGGGGUGAGGUGGACGGUGUUGUGGCGAAGAAGUGAUUGAUGCGGUCGGCAGCCAGCGCCGGUGAGCGACGAGGAUGCUACCAUCUCUCCUAUAUCCUCCCAGAUUCUCGAUUGGACCGGGGGACAGACGCCGCCACAGGCCACCGGGGACGCCUCUGCAUUGUCGUCAGCUGGACGAGGAAAACAGCAAGAUGCUGGCCUAUGCAUCGGACGUGGGCCACUUCAGCUUUAGGGGAGAUUUGACUAUGGCGCAAGGUCCCCCACUUCCUUGUUGUGGCGCUGCAGCGUCAUGGGCCCUUCUGAAGGGAGAGGGAGGCACAUCGGAGGGUGGUAGCAGGUGCGUCUUGCUAAAGCAACCAGUGGUUGUCGUGGCCUGAAGCAGCAAGUAUUGUGGAGAUUGAUGGACUAGGUGCUUGCAGCCGCAGUCCAUCGCGCUCUCGGUUGCUGACCUUGAGGUCCAGCGGCAACUGCCCGUCACUUAGGGGAUGCUUCUAAGCUGCAAUGCUCCAUAUCCGAUGCAAUAUAUUUCUGCUUUAUUGAAGAGGACUAACUUGUGCUGGGAAAGAUUCCUGAAGGUGAUGUCAGAUCAUUGGUAAAUAACAAGGAAUCCUUGGAACCUGUCAUCCUGUAGUAUUUGUCUGCGAUAGACCUAGAUUGUAGGAUUGCAUGAGUUGGGGCUUGCGAUUGCCCAUUGUGGUGCACAGGUAGAUUGUAGGAUGUACUUGCCGAAAUGAGCAUGGUCGCCAUGCUAAUUGUUCAAAUAUUCUAUGGUUAUUUCAGUGCUUAUCCCAGUUACUUGAUUUCUUUUGCAGUACUGCCAGGGGUGGCUGUUUGUUUACUGCAGGGGGUGUUGAUCUGCUGCCCCAUUAUUUGAUUACAUGUUUGAUGCUCUCCAAAAAAUGCUACAAAGAAUCAUAAGAAACUUCUCGUGAUAGAUUUACCAUUAGGGAUAUUUCCAAAUGUUUACUUCUAAUUCAUUAGCAUAUCCUCUGUUUUUUUUAAUUAAUUGUUGCCUCCUGUUUUUUGUUUAUCUUAGCCUUCUGGUGCUUUUGGUGUAUGGGCAAAACAGGUCAGAGUACAAAGUGGUGAAUUGCAUUUCACAUGCCAAGAUAAACAAAGAAUAAAAAAAGAAAACAUGGUAUUCUCUAACACAAGAGCAUGAUACCUUGGGUCCAUUGGUGCAGACCAAGAGAUAAGAACUACUUAUGCUGCAAUAGUUUCAGUGGAAGUAUAGUCAGGUGUUUAAUUGUUUUUUUUACAGUUUUAGCUAAUUGGCUGGGUAUCCACUUUAUCUUUUGUGCUUGCACAUAUAAUCGAUUCUCUGGUCCAUACUUGCAUGUUCUCUAAUUAUCUUGGAGUGCUGGCAAGUAAUUAGAACAUAUCUUGGUCCAUACUUGCAUUAGAAUAUGCCACAUAGAAGGAUGUGGCAUAUCUUGGAAUAAGAAUGGCCACACGAGCAUUUUGUCAUGAUAUUGUAAUGAGUGGUCGAUACUUGUGGCAGUGCUACAAUGGUGCUAUGUUGCAUGUUUGCACAAGAUGCCUGUAAAUUCUUGAUCUUCGUCGUGCCUCCUGCUUACUAUUAGUUCAAUUGAGCCCAAUCUUUCUGGUCGUAUUGCUACGCGCUUAUGAUUAGUUGCUCUAUUUCUUGGUUGUUGUAUUGUAGGAUAGGGAGGCAGAAGAUAGGACAUGCCGGGGAAUGAAGGAGAACAAACAGUGUCUCAGGCACACAAGCUAAAGGUUCACCAAGUUCUGGGAAAGAAAAGUUUCCCUAGACAUGUGGCGGUGGCUGUCAAGACAAGAGGGGCGCUGUGAGCGACAGCCCUCGAUCGUCUUCCUUGUGGAAUCAGGUACGCGUCGUCCAUCAUGGGUGCUGGCGGGUGGCCGGAGGCGGCUACAUCAGGCCAGUGUCCGUGAUCAAGACUGACACCGGGAAGGCUGCCGGUAUGUAGUAUGCUCCUCAUCUCCUCCAACUUAUGUUUUGGUAGCACGUCUCCAUCAUUGUCUACAGUUGUGCACUCAAUUCAAAUGAUUAUUCUCCGUUCUUUGCCUCAGAACUACAUAUGAGAGGUACAAAGGGUUGGCCAAGAUACUCAAUUAAGCUAUUCGAUUUAAGGUCCUUUGCUGAUGUUGGUUGUGUCCUUGCUUCUUGGAGAGGGGGUGAGGGCAGAGGACUUUGAUGCCAGAAAUAGGCGAGUAUUUUCAGGUCCACUACACCAAAGAAAAGCUGAAAGAGUACAUCAAACCAGAUGAUGACACACUCAAGGUCAAGCUCGCAAACAGCAGUCUGCACACCAGUUGUCGUAUCAUGCUGGGAACAGACAAGAGAGCCACAAUAACCAGAAACUGGUCGGAGUUCUGCCACCGUGCAAACAUCCAUGAAGGAUGUAUCUGCGCCUUUUGUUUCAAGGUUACCGCAGAGCACCGCCUGACUCUCAUCGUCCAUGUUCUCUAGACGGACCAUCUACAGCAACCCAUGCCUUUUGCAUGCAUAGCCUGUCGUCUUAAGAUCUAAUUUGCCUCUAUGAUAAGAUGAACCUUACCUGUGGUUGCCGACGAUGCCAUACGUUGCUUUUGUACAACUGCCGGUGAUAUUAUAACCUAUGUAACCCCAGUUAUUAUUACCCGGCAGCACAUCCAUCUAUUGAUCUUACGUAUGAUUUUCUAUCGUUGCUGCUUUCCUCUGCUUCAAUCAUCAGUUAUUUGACAACAACGCUGAACAAUCUGCACAAGUACUAAUGGAGCCUGGAUGAUGAUGUUGAAGGGAUUUCUGUUAUGAACAAUGAGAACAUUCAACCCCAGCCACUAUGAACAAUCGCAGCGCCGAUGGUCCAACAAGCAUAAAGCCUAUGAGAUGAAUCUCCCCCUUUCUACCUUACUUCCCAAUAGC